GAGGAGAACGAAGUAGGAUUGGGAGCGAGCCUUCAUGAAGUAAAGACGUGUUCCAGAUCAACGACCACGGGUCCUCGUUAUUUAUAUUUGUUUUGCGGCAUUUC
rnacentral:lncRNA from 1 species